rnacentral:tRNA from 1 species
UCCCUGGUGGCUCAGAUGGUAAAGAGUCUGCUAGCAAUGCAGGAGACCCCAGGUUCGAUCCCUGGGUGGGGAA